UACAGAGGUCCCAAGCGUUGUUCGGAUUCAUUGGGCGUAAAGGGUGCGUAGGCGGCGGAGUAAGUUGGGUGUGAAAUCCCGGGGCUCAACCUCGGAAUUGCAUUCAAUACUGCUUCGCUAGAGUACUGGAGAGGAGGCUGGAAUUUACGGUGUAGCAGUGAAAUGCGUAGAUAUCGUAAGGAAGGCCGGUGGCGAAAGCGAGCCUCUGGACAGUUACUGACGCUGAUGCACGAAGGCCAGGGGAGCAAACGGG
rnacentral:rRNA from 1 species